rnacentral:rRNA from 1 species
AACGCUGGCGCGUGCCUAACACAUGCAAGUCGAACGGAGUUAUGUCACGAAGUUCUUCGGAGCGGACGACAUAGCUUAGUGGCGGACGGGUGAGUAACGCGUGAGCAACCUGCCUUUCAGAGGGGGACAACGGUUGGAAACGACCGCUAAUACCGCAUGAAAUGACUGGACCGCAUGAUCCGGUCAUCAAAGAUUUUUAUCGCUGAAAGAUGGGGCUCGCGUCUGAUUUAGAUAGUUGGUGGGUAACGGCCCACCAAGUCGACGAUCAGUAGCCGGACUGAGAGGUUGAACGGCCACAUUGGGACUGAGAUACGGCCCAGACUCCUACGGGAGGCAGCAGUGGGGAAUAUUGGGCAAAUGGGGGCAACCCUGACCCAGCAACGCCGCGUGAAGGAAGAAGGCUUUCGGGUUGUAAACUUCUUUACCGAGGACGAAGGACGUGACGGUACUCGGAGAAAAAGCCACGGCUAACUACGUGCCAGCCGCAGC